rnacentral:rRNA from 1 species
CACGACUCUCGGCAACGGAUAUCUCGGCUCUCGCAUCGAUGAAGAACGUAGCGAAAUGCGAUACCUGGUGUGAAUUGCAGAAUCCCGCGAACCAUCGAGUCUUUGAACGCAAGUUGCGCCCGAGGCCACCCGGCCGAGGGCACGCCUGCCUGGGCGUCACGCCA